UGUAUUUACUUUCCCAUCAAUGGUGACCCUGUUUCUACUGCCUGGGAAGCAGCUUCUGUUAUAAUGUCUGUCAUGACAGGAUAGUUUUGUCUGCUCCUUACUUCAUAUGGCCCGAAGCAUACAGUUGGCGCUCUUUUAUAUCUGUGUUCUGGUGUUCACCUGGUGUUUUGAGGACUCAUCCUUGUGGGGUGCAGGUUUUAGUGCUUUGUUCUUUUUUUUUCCUUUGGCUAAAUAGUACUCUAUUAUGUGAAUAUGCCACACUCUGCCCAUCCGUUUACCUGGUAUGUGAGACAAGUUAUUUCUAGAUUUCAUGAAUAAGGCUGCUAUAAAUACAUUUGUGACAGCUUUUUCUGCUUUCAUUCCUCUUGACUAAGCAGACUUGCUGAGUCACAGAGAUGUCGAAGCAACAGAGCAUCUGCCAGUAGGGCCUCGUGUUUCCAUUACUUCUGUCUGGCCGAAUGGAAUCACCGCACCGGACAUUCUGCCUGAGUCUUCAUUUUCUGUGCAUCCUUUUCUUUCUAAACUCAACUCUGAAUCCUCAUGCCGCCAGCUAUCAGUCUCUUUUUAUUAAAUAUUUAAGGAUCUAGUCAGCAGAACCUGGUCCUUCCCAGAGUUAGAUGAGAAAGCCCAUGGGAAGGUCGCCAAAUGGUUGGGAGAGGAAGAUGGAAAAUUCACAGGUGGAGUAUGACCACUUGCUUAUAGGGAGAAACCCACCACCAGGCCUUCCCUACCACGACAAACAGCAUCUUGAACUACUGAAACACUUCAGUCUUUUGGAGAGAAGAAGAGGAAGGCUUGUAAGACCAUGGAAGCAGCUAUAUUUAUCAACUCACAAAACCCCCAAGGUUACAUAAGCUGUAAGCAAUUGCUGGCUGAGACUGUUUCCAGUGAAGCUGACUGCAAGGAGCUCAAAGAGAUCAAGUGGCCUUCUCCAAGUGACCUGGCUACCAGAAUGCAGCCUUGGUGUCUUCUCUCUAAUGUGACCUGGACCUGGAUAUAUCUUGUUCCACUGAUGCCUAUAAAGGAGUCGAAGCCCUGAGAAGUAAAUAGCCCAGCUGUAGCCACUGAACUUGAGUCUUGCAGUGCAAGAUGGAACCAUCUAUCCAUGGCCUCUCCAUUCUCAGAGACUGAGGCACACAAUGAGAAGCAUCCGGGUGAAGCUCAAUCAAAUAGCCAAGUUUCCCUCCAGUCUGAGAGGCGCCUCCUUCUCACCAUCGUUUCCCAGUUAUAGAGACCCAGUGGCAAAGCAGACAAAGUGUGUCAUCGCUGGGAAGCAGGCUCAGCCUCAAGGGGGAAAUAAGUGUUGACAAAGAAUAUAUCAUGACAGUGUCAUCUGAUGCCAAUGUCAUCAGAGGGCCAAAUGAAGCUCUUCCAGAUGGCCAUAGAACCCCAAAAUUACACGAUGGAGAGAGCAGAGCCCAGAGAUUAUGAGAUGGAAGGAGAGAGGCAUGCAUUUACAUCUCUCCAUGUCUGUGUGUCUAUCUCUUUCUAGGUCCUUUUCCUUUAUCUCCAUCCUUAGCUGGAGACUUUUUCACAACAUAAUUCUCCCUUAACUUUGGGGUUCUUGACAUUCUCGUAUCUCAGGCUUCCUGUAGAUUCUCUUUGUGCAUAUGAGUUUAUGUGUGUGUAUGUGUGUUACAUGUUGUUAUGCACAUGUGUGUCUGCAUGUUCAUAUACAACUGUGUGUAGGUGUAUGUGUGUGUGUGUGUGUGUGUG